rnacentral:lncRNA from 1 species
CCUCGGCUCCUGCUCCAGCGGCAAGAUGUGAUCCACCAGCUAGGAGGGACGCCAAUAAGGCGUCCGAUAAGAUAAGUCUUAUAAAAUAUAUAGAUUUAUGAUGAUUGAUACUGAGCUAACAGAUAAAAAUCCUAGUCAUUGGCCAAGCAACAUUGUAACUAAUACAAGUCUCUCUGUGUAUUCAUUUGGGCCUAACUUGGGCAGGCGGCUGCCAUAAAGCUUACACGUGGCGGUGGGGCUCAGCGGCUUUUGGCAGAAAGAUUUAUCAUAACAGUACAGUUUCUGGUAAAAGCCAGAAACUGGAAGCAGCCUAGAUGCCCCUCUACCAAAGAAUGGAUAGAGAAAAUGUGGUACAUUUACACAAUGUACUACAUAGCAGAAAAAAAAAUUGAAUCUUGAAAUUUGCAGGAAAAUGGAUGGAACUCGAAGAAACCAUUCUGAGCAAGGUAACCCAAUCACAAAAAGACAAACAUGAUAUGUACUCACUCAUAUGUGAAUUUUAGACAUAGAGUAAUGAUUACCAGCCUACAAUCCACACUGCCAGAGAAACUAGUAAACAAGGAGGACCCUAAAAGAGACAAACAUUGUCCCCUGGAGAAGGGUAAAGGGUCACCAUCCCCUGAGCAAAUUGAGAGCACGGGAAGAGUGGGGAGGAAGCUACAAGAAUGAGAAGGGGAGCAGAGAGGGGUGCAGAGGUCAUGAGGGAGCAGAAAGGUUGAGUCAGGUAAAGAAUAGAAGAAAGGAUAUGUGAUAGGUAGGGUUUUAGUUGGGGAGGUGGUAGGGGAGGAAGGGAGGGAGAAGGGAACUGGGAUUGUCAUGUAAAUCAAUCUUGUUUCUAAUUCAAAUAAAAAAGAUAAAAAAAAAUCAUAAAAAGAAAAAAUAAAGUACAUAGGAAUAUGAAAAAAAGUAGUGUACAGAAAUAGACAAUUCUCAACAGAGGAAUCUAAAAUGGCUAAAAGGCACAUAAGAAAGUGUUCAACAUCCUUAGCUAUCAGAGAAAUGCAAAUCAGAACAACUCUGAGAUACAAUCUUACCCCUGUCAGAAUGGCCAAAAUAAAAAACACCAAUGACAGUUUAUGCUGGAGAAGAUAUGGAGAAAGGGAAACAACACUUCUCUACUGCUGUUGGGAGUGCCAUCUUGUACAGCCACUUUGAAAAUCAGUAUGGCGACUCCUCAGGAAAAUGCAAAUCAGUCUACCACAAGAUCCAGGAAUCCCACUCUUAGGCAUAUACCCAAAAGAAACACAUUCAUACAACAAGGACAUCUGUUCAAUGAUGUUCAUAGCAGCAUUAUUUGUAAUACCCAGAACCUGGAAGCAACCUAGAUGCCCCUCAUCUGAAGAAUGGAUAGAGAAAAUGUGGUACAUUUACAAAAUGGAGUACUACUCAGGCAGGGGGGGCGGAACAAUGGAAUAUUGAAAUUUGCAGGAAAAUGGAUGGAACUAUAAGAAAACAUUCUGAGCAAGGUAACCCAAUCAUAAAAAGACAAACAUGGUAUGUUCUCACUCAUAUUUUAGACAUAGAGUAAAGGAUUACCAGCCUACAAUCCACACUGCCAGAGAAGCUAGUAAACAAGGAGGACCCUAAGAGAGACAUACAAGGCCCCCUGGAGAAGGGCAAAGGGACAAGAUCUCCUGAGCAAAUUGGGAGCAAGGGAAGAGGGGGGAGGGAGCUAGGAGAAUGAGAAGGGGAGAAGAGGAGGGAUGAGGAGGACAUGAGGGAGCAGAAAGGUUGAGUCAGGGGAAGAAUAGAAGAAAACAAGAAAUGAGAUACCAUAACAGAGGGAGUCAUUUUAGGUUUACAGAGAAAUCAAGCACUAGGGAUAGGUCUGGAGAUCUACCAAGAUAGCACCAACUAACAAUCUAAGCAACAGAGGAGAGGCUAUGUUAAAUGCCUUCCCCUGUUAAUGAGAUUAAUGACUGUGUUAUAUGCCAUCCUUUAGCUUUCAUCAAGCAGCUUGUAGAAGUAGAAGCAGACACCCACAGCUAAUCACUGAACUGAAUCCAGAUGCAGAGAAGGAUGAGUGAAGAGCAAAGGGGUCCAGACCAGGCUGGUGAAACCCACAGAAACUGCUGACCUGAACAAUGGGGGUCUCUUGUUCCCCACACUGAUAGCUGGGAUACCAAUAUAGGACUGAUCCAGACCCCAGGAAAAUGGGUUUCAAUGAGGAGACCUAGGAAAUCUAUGGGACCUCCUGUACUUAUCCCUAGCAUAGCUGUGGACUUUGGGAGCCCAAUCCACAUAGAGGGAUACUCCUUGAGCCAAGACACACAGGGGUGGGCCUAGGCCCUAUCCCAAAGGAUACAAUAGACUCUGAUGACCCCCUACGGAAGGCCUCACCUUCCUGGGGAGCAGAAAGGAUUUGUGAUAGCUAGGAUUUAGUUGGGGGAGGGAAGGUAGGGGGAGCUGAGGGAGUGGGAACUGGGAUUGACAUGUAAAACAAACUUGUUUAUAAUUCAAAUAAAAGAUGGAGAAAAACAAAGAUUGUCACUAAGACACAUUAUUGGGCAGACAAUGGCUAUUUAGGGAAUUAAAUGUUGCUAGAGAUAAGGUAAUUAGCCCCUGGAAAUGAAACACUCUGACCUCUCUAUAAAAGGUAAGUUCCAUUCAGUCAAUCAGUCUCUGUAGACACAGCUUUCCCUAGGAAUUCUCUUUACAUUCUCAGCUCCAUUACUUGAUUUUUUUAAUGUGGAUAUUUUUGCAGGUGAUACAAAAGGAUACAUUACCAUUAAGCCCCAAAUGGUUUCUUAAGAGUGUCUUUUGUUUGCGAAGUGAAUGCAACUUAAGAUUCCUUGUUAAUGAGCCAGGAAAACCAGAAACAGAAAAACAAAUGCUCUGUCUCCCCUCGGAUAUGUAGACACUAAAAAGAACUGAGAUGCAAAAAGAAUUACAGAUGCUGGGAAGGCAGAUAAAUAAGUGUAAGGAGAAUCUUCGUUCUUGGUUUUAUUCUCACAGCUACCUUAUUACUCCAGCAUAAUCUGAAGGCUGAGAGCUCACAUCUUGAACUUCAGGCAUGAAGCAGAAAGAGUACAAACUGGAAAUGACAUGAGCAUUUUACUCUCAAAGUCAACCCCUGGUGACUUGCUUCCUCCAGCAAGAUCGCACAUCUUAUACCUACCCAAACAUUGCCAACAGAGGAACCUAUGAAUGGUAGUCAUUUAAACCACCACAGUGACUAACACAAACAAUUUCAUAGGCUGCACUGGCAAAAUGACAUAUCUACAAAGCACAUCAAAGUGUUGCAUCUAAACUUCUGGUAAGAUUAACUCAAACCUGAUGAUCCAGGGAAAAGUAAGAGAUGGAAAAAAUGAAAAGCCAAAUAAUGGAUUCUACAGUAAUCACUUAUAUACUAAUUCCUGCAUACCUGGUGAAAACUGAUGUAUCUGUUCUCCUGGAAAACACCCAGACAGGAGAACCUUCAAUCAGGUAUUCAGUACUUGUUUAAUAUUGAUGGAAGCAGAGGCAGACACCCACAGAUAUACACUGAACAGAACUCUGGAAACCAGUUGCAGAGAGGGAGGAAUGAAGAUCAAAGGGGACAGUACCAGGUUGGUGAAACCCACAGAAACAGCUGGCCUGAACAAGGGGGAGCACAUGGACCCCUGACUGCUUUCUGGGAGGCCAGCACAGGACUGAUCCAGACCCCUGAAAAUGGAUGUCAAUGAGGAGGCCUCCAAACUCUAGGGAGACCCUGGUAGUGGAUUAGUAUUUUUCCCUGGUGUAAGAAGGGACUUUGAGAGCCCAUCCCACUUGAAGGGAUGCAGUCUUGCCCUGGACACUUAGGGGAGGGCUUAGGCCCAGCCCAGAAUGAUGUGGUGGACUUUGGGGACCCCCUAUGAGGGCCCUACCCUGCCUGGGGAG